GAUGAACGCUGGCGGCAGGCCUAACACAUGCAAGUCGAACGGUAGCACAGAGAGCUUGCUCUCGGGUGACGAGUAGCGGACGGGUGAGUAAUGUCUGGGAAACUGCCCGAUGGAGGGGGAUAACUACUGGAAACGGUAGCUAAUACCGCAUAACGUCGCAAGACCAAAGUGGGGGACCUUCGGGCCUCACACCAUCGGAUGUGCCCAGAUGGGAUUAGCUAGUAGGUGGGGUAAUGGCUCACCUAGGCGACGAUCCCUAGCUGGUCUGAGAGGAUGACCAGCCACACUGGAACUGAGACACGGUCCAGACUCCUACGGGAGGCAGCAGUGGGGAAUAUUGCACAAUGGGCGCAAGCCUGAUGCAGCCAUGCCGCGUGUAUGAAGAAGGCCUUCGGGUUGUAAAGUACUUUUGUACAGAGCGAAAAGGUUUCUACUAAUACUAGGAGCUCAUGACGGAACUGUAAGAAUAAGCACCGGCUAACUACGUGCCAGCAGCCGCCGUAA
rnacentral:rRNA from 1 species